rnacentral:tRNA from 1 species
GUGCCGGUAAGCCGAAUAGGUCCGGAAUGGUAUUGGAGUAAUCCAAGGUAAAAGGCUAUUAGCAUCUGACUACGGAUCAGAAGGUUGGGGGUUCGAAUCCCUCCGGGCGCA